rnacentral:misc_RNA from 1 species
GGGUAGAGUCUCAAUGUCUCAUUGAGUAUCAUUGUCACAAUCUUGAAAUCAUUCAGAUUCUCUGCACUUGGAAGGUUGUUACCCUUACAAACUCGGAAAACUUCUUCUCGAGCUUUAUCUUGCCACUCUUGAUGCAAUGCUAGAAGAAGAAGUGUCCAAGUUAAUAAGACAGAAGUAGUUUCCUUCCCAGCAAAGUAAAAUGUCUUGCAUUCAUUAAUAACUUCUUCCAUCCCAAAUCCGUGUUCUUCUUCACUAGCAGAGAUUAGCAAACUAAGAAGACUUUUAGAAUUUUCUCUCCCUUUACUACUCUCAAUCAGCCUCCUUACUGACUCUCGAGUUUCUUUCUCUAUUCUCCAUCUCAUCAUGUUAUUUUUCGUGGGCAAAUACCUAAAUCCAGGAAGGUAGACGCUUCGUAUUGCCUGCAAAGUAAGAGAUAUUUGUUGCUCUUGCAACUCAAAUAUGCGU